rnacentral:rRNA from 2 species
UUUAACAUGAGAGUUUGAUCCUGGCUCAGGAUGAACGCUGGCGGCGUGCUUAACACAUGCAAGUCGAACGAAGCAAUUUAAUGGAAGUUUUCGGAUGGAAGUUAAAUUGACUGAGUGGCGGACGGGUGAGUAACGCGUGGGUAACCUGCCUCACACUGGGGGACAACAGUUAGAAAUGACUGCUAAUACCGCAUAAGCGCACAGGACCGCAUGGUCUAGUGUGAAAAACUCCGGUGGUGUGAGAUGGACCCGCGUUUGAUUAGCUAGUUGGUGGGGUAACGGCCUACCAAGGCGACGAUCAAUAGCCGACCUGAGAGGGUGACCGGCCACAUUGGGACUGAGACACGGCCCAAACUCCUACGGGAGGCAGCAGUGGGGAAUAUUGCACAAUGGGGGAAACCCUG